rnacentral:lncRNA from 1 species
GAGCCAGAUGUUGUAAUCUACAACACAGUCAUUGAUGGUCUUUGCAAAUACAAACAUAUGGAUGAUGCGCUCCACCUAUUCAACAAAAUGGAAAACAAAGGAAUUAGACCUAAUGUUGUUACCUACAGCUCCCUCAUUAGUUGCCUUUGUAAUUACGGAAGAUGGAGUGAUGCCUCUCGACUACUGAGUGAUAUGAUUGAGAGGAAAAUCAACCCCGAUGUAGUCACCUUCAGCGCAUUGAUCGAUGCGUUUGUGAAGGAGGGGAAGCUUUUAGAGGCUGAGAAAUUGUACAAGGAGAUGAUCAAAAGGUCUAUAGAUCCUGAUAUUUUCACCUACAAUUCUUUGAUCAAUGGGUUUUGUAUGCGUCAUCGCCUAGACGAGGCCAAGCAGAUGUUUGAGUUUAUGGUUACCAAGGGCUGUUUCCCAAAUGUAGUGACUUAUAAUACGCUCAUAAAGGGAUUUUGUAAGGCUAAGAAGGUAGAAGAUGGUAUGGAACUCUUCCGCGAGAUGUCUCAAAGAGGAUUGGUUGGCGACACAGUCACUUACAACACUCUUAUCCAAGAGUUAUUUCAAGCUGGAGAUUGUGAUAUGGCUCAAGAAACUUUUAGUCAUAUGAAUUCUUUUGGUGUCUCUCCUGAUCUUUGGACUUAUAAUAUUUUGUUAGAUGGGCUUUGUAAUAACGGGAGGCUAGAGAAAGCAUUGGUGGUAUUCGAGUGUUUGCAGAAGAGUGAAAUGGAACUUGACAUAUUCACAUAUAAUAUUAUGAUUGAAGGGAUGUGUAAGGAUGGGAAGGUGGAAGAUGGUUGGGGUCUAUUUUGUAGCCUCACCCUUAAAGGAGUGAAGCCUGAUGUUAUAACCUACAACACAAUGAUCUCAGGCUUGUGUAGGAAAGGUUUAAACCAGGAAGCUUAUGCCUUGCUCAAAAAAAUGAAACAAGAUGGGCCUCCUCCAGAUAGCGGUACAUAUAAUACACUGAUCAGGGCAUGCCUUAGAGAUGGUGACAAAGCGGCAUCGGCAGAACUCAUCAAAGAAAUGAGGAGUUGCGGGUUUGCUGGAGAUGCUUCAGCGAUUGGCUUGGUCGCUAAUAUGUUGCAUGAUGGGAGAUUGGACAAAAGUUUUUUGGAAAUGCUUUCUUAAACAGUUUAUCCUUGAGAGAUUUGUUGAGGAACCAUGUGCCCUCGCGAGUUGAAUUAACUUAUUAUGUUGCUUUUCUGUUGAUUACUUCUGAACGCAUUUUCUCAUGUGUACAUAUUGGUUAGUCGUGUAUAAGCUUCAUGAAUAUGACUGAUACUGAUCUUUGUUAUGUAAGAGAGGUGAUAUUGAUUUGGCUUUGAGUUUGUUGAAGAAGAUGGAGAAAGGGAGAAUAGAGCCAAAUGUUGUAAUCUACAACACAGUUAUCGAUGGUCUCUGCAAAUACAAACAUGUGAAUGAUGCAUGCAACCUAUUCAAUGAAAUGGAGAACAAAGGAAUUAGACCAAAUGUUGUUACUUACAGCUCCCUCAUUAAUUGCCUUUGUAAUUACGGAAGAUGGAGUGAUGCCUCUCGACUGCUGAGCGAUAUGAUCGAGAGGAGAAUCAACCCCGACGUAGUUACUUUCAGCGCAUUGAUCGAUGCGUUUGUGAAGGAGGGGAAACUUAUAGAGGCUGAGAAAUUGUACAAGGAGAUGAUCAAAAGGUCUAUAGAUCCUGAUAUUUUCACUUACAAUUCAUUGAUCAACGGGUUUUGUAUGCACGAUCGUCUAGAUGAGGCCAAACAGAUGUUUGAGUUCAUGGCUAGCAAGGAUUGUUACCCAAAUGUAGUGACAUAUACUACUCUCAUAAAGGGAUUUUGCAAGUCUACGAAGAUUGAAGAUGGUAUGGAACUCUUCCGGGAGAUGUCUCAAAAAGGAUUGGUUGGCGAUACAGUCACUUACAACACUCUUAUCCAGGGGUUAUUUCAAGCUGGAGAUUGUGAUAUGGCCCAAAAACUAUUCACUAAUAUGUUGCAUGAUGGGAGAUUGGACAAAAGCUUUUUGGAAAUGCUUUCUUAAGACAUCCUUGAGGUCGAUCAGCUUUUCAUGUUGCUUUUCUAUUGGUUACUUCUAAAUACAGUCAUUAUGUUCUCAUGUUACAUGUGGAUAUAGCAGUGGCUGUUGUGUCUAAGCUUCAUGAAACAUAUCUUGUUUUGUUGCAAUUCAUUUUUUUCACCUUUCUCAAUUUCGGUCAUUGUAUAUAGAAGAAUAUAUCAUGUAAAUGAGAUUAUUAGUGUAAAACAAACCGAGAUCCCUAAGCGAAAACAGACUUAUUGCUAGGAAGGAAUCGAGGUUAAAUUUUAAAAUCGGAGAUGAAGAAAUUUUCUGAUUUCUUUUCUAAUAAUACACUUUUAAGCUUAACCGGAUCUAACAUUUUGUUAAACCAACCUAAACCAUACUUUAUUCCGGUUCCAAUUUUAAUUUAAUUUGGGUUGGAUAACAGUUUUGGUUUACUAAAUCAGCCGGACACGUAAGCUCUUCACGAACCACAUCUGUUCCGUUAUUAAACAAAAAUCCCCAAGUCCCCUCCUACGCUUCUUCUCCUGUCUCCAUCUUCCAUAUUUGCAGAGCUCGAGAUUCUUUCACAGUCUCAGUGGUUCGUUUAGGGUUUUGUUGAAUUUUACAGAGAAAUUGGGAAGCCAAAUCGAGAGAAUGCUUGCAAAGAUAUCAUCUAGAGGGAAGAGAUUUGUUUAUCGGAGUCUUGUGGUGAGAGGUAAUGCUGCAACUUUUCCUCCCUCUUUUUCUCUUUGCCAGAGAAGAGCUUUUGAUGGUAAGAGUAGUUAUGAUUACAGAGAGAUACUCAGAAAUGGGCUGGGUGAUAUUAGGUUAGACGAUGCUGUUGAUUUGUUCAGUGAAAUGGUAAAGUCUCGUCCUUUACCUUCCAUUGUUGAUUUCAGUAAAUUGUUGAGUGCAAUUGCUAAGAUGAAGAAGUUUGAUGUUGUCAUCUCUCUUGGCGAGCGGAUGCAAAAUCUGGGGAUUUCAUAUGAUCUCUACUCAUACAAUAUUUUGAUCAACUGUUUCUGUCGACGCUCUCAAAUCUCUCUUGCUUUAGCUGUUCUUGGGAAGAUGAUGAAACUCGGCUAUGAGCCCAGCAUUGUUACGCUUUCUUCGCUGCUCAAUGGGUACUGCCACGGUAAGAGGAUUUCCGAGGCUGUAGCUUUGGUUGAUCAAAUGGUCGAAAUGGGAUAUCAACCUAAUACCGUUACAUUUACAACUUUGAUUCAUGGGCUUUUUCUCCACAACAAAGCUUCCGAAGCUGUGGCUUUAGUUGAACGGAUGGCUCUGAAAGGAUGUCAACCAGAUUUGGUUACUUAUGGUGUGGUAGUAAACGGAAUAUGCAAGAGAGGUGAUACUGAUUUGGCUUUAAAUCUGCUCAACAAGAUGGAAUUAUGGAAAGUAGAGCCAGAUGUUGUAAUCUACAACACAGUCAUUGAUGGUCUUUGCAAAUACAAACAUAUGGAUGAUGCGCUCCACCUAUUCAACAAAAUGGAAAACAAAGGAAUUAGACCUAAUGUUGUUACCUACAGCUCCCUCAUUAGUUGCCUUUGUAAUUACGGAAGAUGGAGUGAUGCCUCUCGACUACUGAGUGAUAUGAUUGAGAGGAAAAUCAACCCCGAUGUAGUCAC